rnacentral:tRNA from 1 species
UCCCCGGUAGCUCAGCUGGUAGAGCGCGCGGCUGUUAACCGCUAGGUCGAAGGUUCGAGUCCUUCCCGGGGAGCCA